GACGAACGCUGGCGGCGUGCUUAACACAUGCAAGUCGAACGGAAAGGCCCUGCUUUUGUGGGGUGCUCGAGUGGCGAACGGGUGAGUAACACGUGAGUAACCUGCCCUUGACUUUGGGAUAACUUCAGGAAACUGGGGCUAAUACCGGAUAGGAGCUCCUGCUGCAUGGUGGGGGUUGGAAAGUUUCGGCGGUUGGGGAUGGACUCGCGGCUUAUCAGCUUGUUGGUGGGGUAGUGGCUUACCAAGGCUUUGACGGGUAGCCGGCCUGAGAGGGUGACCGGGUAAAUUGGGAAUGAGAUAAGGCCCAGAACCCUAAGGGAGGGAGGAGGGGGGAAAAUUUGAAAAUGGGGGGAAGCCUGAUGCAGCAACGCCGCGUGCGGGAUGACGGCCUUCGGGUUGUAAACCGCUUUCGCCUGUGACGAAGCGUGAGUGACGGUAAUGGGUAAAGAAGCACCGGCUAACUACGUG
rnacentral:rRNA from 1 species